GAGUUUGAACGAGGUUGUCGCUGGCCUUCCGGGGCAUGUGCACACCUCUUUCUCGUCCAUCUCACACCUGUGCACCUUCGGUAGUUCUAGAGAAGGGAAGUCGCCGCAAGGCGAUGUCCCGACUUUGGUCCUACGUUUUCACACACUCCAUAAAGUUCAGAAUGUAUACCGCGUCUAACGCAUCUAAUACAACUUUCAACAACGGAUCUCUUGGCUCU
rnacentral:misc_RNA from 1 species